rnacentral:tRNA from 1 species
UGGUGUAAUGGUCAGCACUCUGAACUCUAAAUCCAGCUGUCUGAGUUCAAAUCUUAG